UUUUACGGACAUAAGGACAUUUGAGGUGCUCCUUCGGACAUACGAAGUUCAUGAAGGAAAAAUGGAUUGUGGCCAGGGCGAUGAAAGUGUUUCUUUUGGGUCUCCUCCUUACAAAAGAAGGCAGCGUUCAAACGAAGAAAGUAAAAUGCAGGAAAAUACCAGUUCACCUGUAAUCUUGGCUAGGCCAUGUGGUGAAUCUAGAGGUCACACUGGCUAUUUGACAUUUGCUAGACUCAAAUGCCUAUGAUGAAGAAAUGUAGUCAAUCAUCCAUCCACUUUGUAGGUUAGAAGAGUUCUGUGCUCAUAUUUGGUUCAGUCUAUGCCUCAUUGUGAAUUCCUUUUAAUCACCUUGAAGCUUGGAAAGUUUUGAAAGAAAAUUUUGGCCUGUGG
rnacentral:misc_RNA from 1 species